AGCAGCCGCGGUAAUUCCAGCUCCAAUAGCGUAUAUUAAAGUUGUUGCAGUUAAAAAGCUCGUAGUUGAAUUUCGGGAUCAGUACGCCGGUCGUGCCUUCGGUAUGCACUGACGUUACUGAUUUCUACCUUCUGACGAACCGUCAUGCCAUUAAUUUGGUGUGGCGGGGAAUCAGGACUGUUACUUUGAAAAAUUAGAGUGUUUAAAGCAGGCUCGCGCUUGAAUACAUUAGCAUGGAAUAAUGAAAUAGGACGUUUGGUCUUAUUUUGUUGGUUUCUAGGAUCGACGUAAUGAUUAAUAGGGAUAGUUGGGGGCAUUAGUAUUCAAUUGUCAGAGGUGAAAUUCUUGGAUUUAUUGAAGACUAACUACUGCGAAAGCAUUUGCCAAGGAUGUUUUCAUUAAUCAAGAACGAA
rnacentral:rRNA from 1 species